UACGUAGGGGGCAAGCGUUGUCCGGAUUUAUUGGGCGUAAAGAGCGUGUAGGCGGCUAUACAGGUCCGUUGUGAAAACUCGAGGCUCAACCUCGAGACGCCGAUGGAAACCGUGUGGCUAGAGUCCGGAAGAGGAGAGCGGAAUUCCUGGUGUAGCGGUGAAAUGCGCAGAUAUCAGGAAGAACACCCGUGGCGAAGGCGGCUCUCUGGGACGGUACUGACGCUGAGACGCGAAAGCGUGGGGAGCGAACAGG
rnacentral:rRNA from 1 species